GAUCUGCAUGCACAAAUCUCAGCAGAGGUCUCUCAUCCUGUUCAAAUGACUGCCAUGACUCACAGGCGGUUCACAGGUUUUCCACCCAUGCUUUUUGGAAGGCCUGAGCUUCUCCUCUGCAGCAAAGCCCCCCGGGGGCUGCAUCUGGUGACUGGCACAGGAUCGCUCUGCCUCUAAUUGUGCUUACCCAGUGCCAAGUGAAAAUUAAAUGUUUGGCAAAGCGGAGAUCCUGCAUAUCCUUCCCUGCGUAUAUGCAAAGCGAUCAUCACGUUGCCCUGUGACGAGCUGGAUCCUCUUCACUCCAGGCACAUCGCUGCAGGGGAAACAGGCUCCCACUUUGUUGUCAUCUCACGUGUCCAUUCAAAGCUGAUAACGAAGACACCAGUGUUCGAGCCACAACCCUCCUUCUCCCAGGCAUGUUCGUUCUUAAAACCCAUAUUGCUCCCAGCAAAGUUCUCCAAGACAAAGAGUGCUGAUUAUAGACCAAAUGUGUGUGAUGGAGAGGUGGGAAAUUUUCCCAGAUUUCUCCACUUAUUGCUAUAUUUCUGUAUAGGCCAUUUCCAAUGCUUUGUUUCCUUCCCCCACCCCGAUUAAAAGCCUGCAAGUGUU